rnacentral:rRNA from 1 species
AGAGUUUGAUCCUGGCUCAGAUUGAACGCUGGCGGAAUGCUUAACACAUGCAAGUCGAGCGGUAACAGGCCUUCGGGCGCUGACGAGCGGCGGACGGGUGAGUAACACGUAGGAAUCUGCCCUGAAGUGGGGGAUAGCCCGGGGAAACCCGGAUUAAUACCGCAUAAUCUCUUCGGAGCAAAGUGGGGGAUCUUCGGACCUCACGCUUUGGGAUGAGCCUACGUCGGAUUAGCUUGUUGGUGAGGUAACGGCUCACCAAGGCGACGAUCCGUAGCUGGUCUGAGAGGAUGAUCAGCCACAUCGGGACUGAGACACGGCCCGAACUCCUACGGGAGGCAGCAGUGGGGAAUAUUGGACAAUGGGCGCAAGCCUGAUCCAGCAAUUCCGCGUGUGUGAAGAAGGCCUUAGGGUUGUAAAGCACUUUAAUCAGGGAAGAAAAAGCUCUGGCUAAUAACCAGCGUCUUGACGGUACCUGAAGAAUUAGCACCGGCUAACUCUGUGCCAGCAGCCGCGGUAAUACAGAGGGUGCGAGCGUUAAUCGGAUUUACUGGGCGUAAAGCGUGCGUAGGAGGCUUGUUAAGUCGGAUGUGAAAUCCCCGGGCUCAACCUGGGAAUUGCAUUCGAUACUGGCAAGCUAGAGUUCGGUAGAGGGUGGCGGAAUUUCCGGUGUAGCGGUGAAAUGCGUAGAUAUCGGAAGGAACACCAAUGGCGAAGGCAGCCACCUGGGCCUGAACUGACUCUGAGGCACGAAAGCGUGGGUAGCAAACAGGAUUAGAUACCCUGGUAGUCCACGCCGUAAACGAUGAGAACUUGGUGUCGGUUUGCUUAGCGAAUCGGUACCGUAGCUAACGCGAUAAGUUCUCCGCCUGGGGAGUACGGCCGCAAGGUUGAAACUCAAAGGAAUUGACGGGGGCCCGCACAAGCGGUGGAGUAUGUGGUUUAAUUCGAUGCAACGCGAAGAACCUUACCUGGCCUUGACAUCUGUGGAACUUGGUAGAGAUACCUCGGUGCCUUCGGGAGCCGCAAGACAGGUGCUGCAUGGCUGUCGUCAGCUCGUGUCGUGAGAUGUUGGGUUAAGUCCCGCAACGAGCGCAACCCUCGUCCUUAGUUGCCAGCAUUAAGUUGGGCACUCUAAAGAGACUGCCGGUGACAAACCGGAGGAAGGUGGGGAUGACGUCAAGUCAUCAUGGCCCUUAUGGCCAGGGCUACACACGUACUACAAUGGUCGGUACAGAGGGUCGCCAACCCGCGAGGGGGAGCCAAUCCCAGAAAGCCGAUCGUAGUCCGAAUCGGAGUCUGCAACUCGACUCCGUGAAGUCGGAAUCGCUAGUAAUCGCCGAUCAGCAUUUGCGGCGGUGAAUACGUUCCCGGGCCUUGUACACACCGCCCGUCACACCAUGGGAGUUGGCUGCACCAGAAGCCGGUAGUCUAACCUUCGGGAGGACGCCGUCCACGGUGUGGUUAAUGACUGGGGUGAAGUCGUAACAAGGUAACCGUA